AGUGAACGCUGGCGGUAGGCCUAACACAUGCAAGUCGAACGGCAGCACAGUAAGAGCUUGCUCUUACGGGUGGCGAGUGGCGGACGGGUGAGGAAUACAUCGGAAUCUACUUUUUCGUGGGGGAUAACGUAGGGAAACUUACGCUAAUACCGCAUACGACCUACGGGUGAAAGCAGGGGAUCUUCGGACCUUGCGCGAUUGAAUGAGCCGAUGUCGGAUUAGCUAGUUGGCGGGGUAAAGGCCCACCAAGGCGACGAUCCGUAGCUGGUCUGAGAGGAUGAUCAGCCACACUGGAACUGAGACACGGUCCAGACUCCUACGGGAGGCAGCAGUGGGGAAUAUUGGACAAUGGGCGCAAGCCUGAUCCAGCCAUACCGCGUGGGUGAAGAAGGCCUUCGGGUUGUAAAGCCCUUUUGCUGGGAAAGAAAAGCAGCAGGUUAAUACCCCGCUGUUCGGACGGUACCCAAAGAAUAAGCACCGGCUAACUUCGU
rnacentral:rRNA from 1 species